GCGUCGGAAGUGAAAACUUGGGGCUUAAACCUUGAGCGUGCUUUCGAUACGGGUUGACUUGAGGAAGGUAGGGGAGAAUGGAAUUCCUGGUGGAGCGGUGGAAUGCGCAGAUAUCAGGAGGAACACCAGUGGCGAAGGCGGUUCUCUGGACCUUUCCUGACGCUGAGGAGCGAAAGCGUGGGGAGCGAACAGGCUUAGAUACCCUGGUAGUCCACGCUGUAAACGGUGGGUACUAGGUGUGGGGUCCAUUCCACGGAUUCCGUGCCGUAGCUAACGCAUUAAGUACCCCGCCUGGGGAGUACGGCCGCAAGGCUAAAACUCAAAGGAAUUGACGGGGCCCCGCACAAGCGGCGGAGCAUGCGGAUUAAUUCGAUGCAACGCGAAGAACCUUACCUGGGUUUGACAUGGACUGGGAGUGCUCAGAGAUGGGUAUGCCUCCUUGUGGGGCUGGUUCACAGGUGGUGCAUGGCUGUCGUCAGCUCGUGUCGUGAGAUGUUGGGUUAAGUCCCGCAACGAGCGCAACCCUCGUUCACUGUUGCCAGCACGUUAUGGUGGGGACUCAGUGGAGACCGCCGGGGUCAACUCGGAGGAAGGUGGGGAUGACGUCAAGUCAUCAUGCCCCUUAUGUCCAGGGCUUCACGCAUGCUACAAUGGCCGGUACAAAGAGUUGCGAGCCUGUGAGGGUGAGCGAAUCUCGGAAAGCCGGUCUCAGUUCGGAUUGGGGUCUGCAACUCGACCCCAUGAAGUCGGAGUCGCUAGUAAUCGCAGAUCAGCAACGCUGCGGUGAAUACGUUCCCGGGGCUUGUACACACCGCCCGUCAAGUCAUGAAAGUCGGUAACACCCGAAGCCGGUGGCCUAACCUGUGUGG
rnacentral:rRNA from 2 species